GCUGUGAGGGUGUGUAUUCGUGCUCCGUCUUGAUUUGGUGACAUUUGUUUGAUUAUACUGCAAAUUAAGUCGAGUUUUUAAGUAUUUUAGGUUUGUGAUUUAGUUUAGCUAAUCUUUUGACCAUUUAACUCGAGAAUUAAAGUAUAUUUUCUAACUUAUAUGGCCUUUUGGCCUAAAGUCUGACAUACCUCAAAAUCUCUGGAGGACACAGAUGGCAACUCAAGAUAAUCUCUGUCUGCAGCGAAAUAUAACCACUCAGGGGAUGAUUUAUUCUCUUUACCAGUAAACAGAGUUACAUCAACAAACAGUUGUGUCCGUGUAUUCACUGGGGGAUCACGAGUUCGGCCAGAGAUUGAGCCCGGCAUGCAGUCAGUGUCUUUCGGAUCUCAGGGGAGUUCGUGCGAAUAUAGGGUGGACCACAGCACGGAGUCAAGAAGGAAGACCAAGUCCGUGACACAGGCAGUGCGGCCGCUCUGUAUCAACACAUAAGUUUUACAGGAAAUCACAGGACAUCACAAAGCCUAAACAAUGGCAGAUUGGAAUGACGUGAAUGCCGUGGAUGGACAGUGGUGGGAGUUGGCAUAUAAGUUGUUUCUUGAAAGUGAUCCAAUGAAGACGAUUCUGAAUCAUGCUGAAUAUUAUAUGCGCGGCGAUAAAUGGAAUGAUUAUGGAUUCAACUGUGACACAGUUGUUCCUCCUACUGGGGAAGUCAAUGAUGUUUCUAAAAAAGCAAUUUUGGUGGUGAUUUCAAGAGCAAGGAGAAUGCAGUGGAAAAAUUGGAUUAAUCUAGAUCAAGCACGUUUGGAAUCUGUACAGGAUCUAGAAAAACAAGAUAAGAUGUAUAUAAACUGUGUUACUGACCUGAUCUAUGAGAUGAACGGCAGCCCAAGACAAUUUAAUAGAUAGGCUGAGCAAUACUGAUCAGUUAUGUGAGACUGAGCUAAAUGCAAUUUGCAUUUUUAUAGUGGUAUGUAGGGUUACUUUUUUGCAUGUUCUAUUUGAAAUUAGUUGCCAUAUGCUUCCUUGCCUUUUACAGAUAUUGGGCUUUCAUGUUGUUUUAUGGGUUAUUUGGAAUUUAAUAAUAUUUUUAGAAAAGGAUGUUUUAUUUUCCUUUUAUUUUCUUUGUCAUCAGUUUCAGUUUAUCAUUUACUUUCUCAUUUGUGUCCACACAAGCUUAUUGUUUGCUUUCAUGAGUAUUUAUCCUGUUUGCUUGAGAAUUUGUCCUCUUUCCUUAGUAAUGAUCACUUCAUUAACUCAAGAUCAAGGUCUUUUUCUGUGUGGUUUCAUAUAAGGAACUAGUGUUAAAAACGUAACAUGUUCAUAUACAUUUCUGCAUCACUAACAGGUGCAACCAUAAUCCUACUUGGCAUGUGGAUUUUUAGGAGCUCGAUGGUGACGUGGUGCCCUGUAUGACCUCAUGAAUCUUGUCUGUAUCAGCUCGCAGGGCUGCAUUUUGUUCGUCGAUUGCUAGAGCCGCUUGGUGGUCCUGAAGACCUAAAAAAAAAUCAUCAGAUAAAUUUCAUAGUGGAAUACUUUAUAGAUGCUACAACUCCAGGAGAGCCAGAGUUCGAGAUUCAGAAGUGAAUUAAGAAUGCUUUUUAAAUUCUAAUUCAUAUCCUGAAUUUGAAUUAAAUUCGCAUGGAAAUAGAAAAAAGAAUUCAGAAUUAUCAUUUAAAUUUGAAUUUAAUUAACAUUUUAAUUUUAAUUAAAAUCAUAAAAAAAGGAACUUUUAGAUUAUGGGCAAUGGGCAGGAAACUCAGAAAAACUGAGGGGGAAAAAAAUCGGAAUUGUGGGAUAUAAACUCACAGUUCUGAGGGAAAAAAAAGAAUUCCGAAAUAUAAACUCGCAAUUCUAAUUAAAAAGAAUUGUGAACUCGCAGUUCUGAGGAAAAAAGUCAGAAUUGAAUAUAAACUCAACUGUGAGAAAAAAAUUUCAAAAAGGAGGCAUAAUUCUGAGGGAAAAAAGUUCCAAUUGCAUGUUUAUAUCUCUCGGUUCUAACUUUAUAACUCGCAAUUGUGAUUUACCAUCUUGCAAUUCUUACUUCUUUUCUCAGAAUUGUGAGAUAUAAACUCAUAAUUGUGAGUUAUAAACUAAAAAGUCGAUUUUGACAUGUUCUUACAAUUGUGAGUUUAAAUCCCAAUAUUCUGACUUUAUAAUUUGCAUUUGUGAGGAAAAAAAAAGUUAGAAUUGCGAGAUAAAAAGUCGCAAUUUUUUUUUAUUCAGUGGUGGAAACAAGCUUUCAUAACAUUCAGAUCAUAUGUCAUAUAUAAAAUAAAAUUGAGACAAUAUUUAUUAGAAGUUUA